GAUGAACGCUGGCGGCGUGCCUAAUACAUGCAAGUCGAGCGAACGGACGAGAAGCUUGCUUCUCUGAUGUUAGCGGCGGACGGGUGAGUAACACGUGGAUAACCUACCUAUAAGACUGGGAUAACUUCGGGAAGCCGGAGCUAAUACCGGAUGAUAUUUUGAACCGCAUGGUUCAAAAGUGAAAGACGGUCUUGCUGUCACUUAUAGAUGGAUCCGCGCUGCAUUAGCUAGUUGGUAAGGUAACGGCUUACCAAGGCAACGAUGCAUAGCCAACCUGAGAGGGUGAUCGGCCACACUGGAACUGAGACACGGUCCAGACUCCUACGGGAGGCAGCAGUAGGGAAUCUUCCGCAAUGGGCGAAAGCCUGACGGAGCAACGCCGCGUGAGUGAUGAAGGUCUUCGGAUCGUAAAACUCUGUUAUUAGGGAAGAACAUAUGUGUAAGUAACUGUGCACAUCUUGACGGUACCUAAUCAGAAAGCCACGGCUAACUACGUG
rnacentral:rRNA from 1 species